CCCCUAGCUCAGUUGGUAGAGCAAUCCACCUGUAAUGGAGAGGUCCCGGGUUUGAUAGCCGGACCACGCGGA
rnacentral:tRNA from 1 species